rnacentral:rRNA from 1 species
UACGUAGGCAGCGAGCGUUGUUCGGAGUUACUGGGCGUAAAGCGUGCGUAGGCGGUGUCUUAAGUUUGUUGUGAAAUCUCCUGGCUCAACUGGGAGGGUGCGCCGGAAACUGGAGUGCUUGAGCGUGGGAGAGGAAAGCGGAAUUCCUGGUGUAGCGGUGAAAUGCGUAGAUAUCAGGAGGAACACCUGUGGUGUAGACGGCUUUCUGGACCAUAGCCGACGCUGAGACACGAAAGCGUGGGUAGCAAACAGG